rnacentral:rRNA from 1 species
ACCAGACGAUGCGGUUACCGCGGCUGCUGGCACGGAGUUAGCCGGUGCUUCUUCUGUGAGUGAUGUCCUUCCUGCCGGCUAUUAACCCGCAGGCCUUCUUCCUCACUGAAAGUGCUUUACAACCCGAAGGCCUUCUUCACACACGCGGCAUGGCUGGAUCAGGGUUGCCCCCAUUGUCCAAUAUUCCCCACUGCUGCCUCCCGUAGGAGUCUGGGCCGUGUCUCAGUCCCCAGUGUGGCUGAUCAUCCUCUCAGACCAGCUACGGAUCGUCGCCUUGGUGAGCCGUUACCUCACCAACCAGCUAAUCCGACAUAGGCUCAUCCGAUAGCGCGAGGCCCGAAGGUCCCCCGCUUUCCCCCGUAGGGCGUAUGCGGUAUU